UGGGGAAUAUUGCACAAUGGGCGCAAGCCUGAUGCAGCCAUGCCGCGUGUGUGAAGAAGGCCUUCGGGUUGUAAAGCACUUUCAGCGAGGAGGAAGGCAUAAAGGUUAAUAACCUUUGUGAUUGACGUUACUCGCAGAAGACGCACCGGCUAACUCCGUGCCAGCAGCCGCGGUAAUACGGAGGGUGCAAGCGUUAAUCGGAAUUACUGGGCGUAAAGCGCACGCAGGCGGUUUGUUAAGUCAGAUGUGAAAUCCCCGCGCUUAACGUGGGAACUGCAUUUGAAACUGGCAAGCUAGAGUCUUGUAGAGGGGGGUAGAAUUCCAGGUGUAGCGGUGAAAUGCGUAGAGAUCUGGAGGAAUACCGGUGGCGAAGGCGGCCCCCUGGACAAAGACUGACGCUCAGGUGCGAAAGCGUGGGGAGCAAACA
rnacentral:rRNA from 1 species